AGCCUAACAGAGAGAGAGAGGGAGAGUCUGGCUCUCAGAGCUGCUUCUCUUAAACUCAAGAAUAAGAGAAGAAUUACUAAGAACUCAGUAUUUUCUUCUAGCUGCUGGCUCUCCUACCACACCAAUGUCCUGUUGUAUUAAGAGGCUACACAUCUGUGCCUGUCUAACACACCUGCUAGACCUCUUGAGAGAUAUGAUUAUAUUAAUUACAAUAUAUUGAUUGAUUUCUACUUUACACGGACUGCCUGUAUUUAAUUUAAAUAUACAAUGAAGCAUAUUGAGGACACAAUUUGGAUUGUUACUGUGAUAAAUAAUUGCUAAUUGUGUCAUGAUAGAUCACCUAU
rnacentral:lncRNA from 1 species